UUCCUGAUGCCUCCCAUGCCUA
rnacentral:miRNA from 4 species